GUUUUUCGCUACCGCAGGAGACAAAACAGGAAGUAGUUUGGUUGUUAGCUAUCUACUGUUUUUGACCAUCCUGUAAUCAACUUCCAUCCUUCAUCAUCCUGUCUUUCGUAGCCCUUAUGCCGGCACCACCUAGACCCCCGACAUACUGUAAGAAGACUGGAGGCCAUUGUUUGUUAAGUGAUGGAGAAAUGUGGCUGCAACGCAAAAGAGAAUCUGAAUGAAGACGAGGCCUCAAAGGGAUUAACAAAAAUGCAAUUACGUUUGUAUAAGCUUAUUUAUUGUAUGAUUAUAUAACUACAGCUAAUAACUUGAGGAAAUGGCAUGUGCACUAGUCUAGU
ensembl:lncRNA